rnacentral:rRNA from 1 species
UUCCCCUUCGGGGGACAAAGUGACAGGUGGUGCAUGGUUGUCGUCAGCUCGUGUCGUGAGAUGUUGGGUUAAGUCCCGCAACGAGCGCAACCCUUAAGCUUAGUUGCCAUCAUUAAGUUGGGCACUCUAAGUUGACUGCCGGUGACAAACCGGAGGAAGGUGGGGAUGACGUCAAAUCAUCAUGCCCCUUAUGAUUUGGGCUACACACGUGCUACAAUGGACAAUACAAAGGGCAGCGAAACCGUGAGGUCAAGCAAAUCCCAUAAAGUUGUUCUCAGUUCGGAUUGUAGUCUGCAACUCGACUACAUGAAGCUGGAAUCGCUAGUAAUCGUAGAUCAGCAUGCUACGGUGAAUACGUUCCCGGGUCUUGUACACACCGCCCGUCACACCACGAGAGUUUGUAACACCCGAAGCCGGUGGAGUAACCUUUUAGGAGCUAGCCGUCGAAGGUGGGACAAAUGAUUGGGGUGAAGUCGUAACAAGGUAGCCGUAUCGGAAGGUGCGGCUGGAUCACCUCCUUU